GGACUAGAAAAAGGCUUUAUUUAAAGAAAUGGGGACAGAAAUGGGGAAUCCAGAGGAAGUGGUAAUUUGGCUGGGGAAGAUAAUGAGUUGAUUUAUGCAACAUUGGGGUUGGUAGCUGGGGAUAGUCUUUCAAAUAGCAGAGUCUGAGCAGCCAGUUGAAAUGAGGAACUGAAAUUUAAGAGAGGGCAAAUCUGCCAGACAUAUGCAUUGAAUAAUCAUCAAGCACAUGUAAAACCUUUACUAUAAAGGUCUUGAUGAAAUCUGCUUUACCACAGGCUCAAACCAUGUUUCUAGUAUAUGCAGUGAUAUGAGUCUCACUCUUAGUGAUAUAAAAUGAAACCUAUCAGUGGGAAUUGAGUAGAAAUAGUAACAGGCUUUCUCUCUGGGAAAUGUGGCAUACAGGUCUAACUAUAAUCAAGUUGUCGAUCCCUCUGGGCAGAUGUCACUGAAUUGGCCUGUGGACUCCCAGGGGCUAAAGAAACAUGAAGAAAGAAGACAUAGAGUAUAUUAAAAUGCAAAAUCAACCAGCACAUCAGUGACUGUUUUUGGCUAAUUUCAAAGGUUGGUGUUCUGAAUAUUUAGUAUUUUUGGUCACAACUGCAGAAAUUCUAGACUGCAGUCUCUAGACUAUUCACAUGCAGUUUCUAGACUACAGUUUCCAGAAAAAUAUGAAUGGCCAAGUAAAUUGACACUAGCAAAAUGAUAAUUUUCCCAUGUCACAUUCCUGACUAGAAUAAGGGGUUAGACAUAUAUUUAGAUGUAAUGCCAAUUGUAAAGAUGAUAAGCAACUUAAACCCUGAACAAUUCAAAUUUUGAAAUCAUUAAAAGAAAAACAACAACAGAAAAGAACUAACCAUGAGAAUAUAAGCUAUCAAAACAAAAACAGAAGCAGGAUUUUGGCUAUGCCUAAUUUAUUAAAAAACAAAAGUUCUUAGAUUUUUCUAGCACAGAAUCAUACCGGUCUGUCAACUUUUGUUUUGCUUAAAUACUCGAUAGUGUGGCCCUACAGCAAACUUGGAAACCUUUAGAAGACAAGGGUGUGAUACUCCAUCCAUGCCAACUAUAAAAACCCAGAUGGGUUUUGUUGAUUUGAG
rnacentral:lncRNA from 12 species